UACGUAGGUGGCAAGCGUUGUCCGGAUUUAUUGGGCGUAAAGCGCGCGCAGGCGGCUAUGUAAGUCUGGUGUUAAAGCCCGGAGCUCAACUCCGGUUCGCAUCGGAAACUGUGUAGCUUGAGUGCAGAAGAGGAAAGCGGUAUUCCACGUGUAGCGGUGAAAUGCGUAGAGAUGUGGAGGAACACCAGUGGCGAAGGCGGCUUUCUGGUCUGUAACUGACGCUGAGGCGCGAAAGCGUGGGGAGCAAACAGG
rnacentral:rRNA from 2 species